UGCUCCAGUAACCUAGUAGUGAGAGUGUCUGCCUCGAAUGCAGGAGGUUGUGGGUUCAAAUCCUGUCAGAGUAA